CCCUCAGAUAUCCUUAAACAUUAGUCAUGCAAAUUUAAAAAAAAAUUGUAUUUUAAACCAAAGCGUUAUCGGUUCUUCCUUAGAUUGUGAACUUCGCUAUUUUCGCCUUCACCUAUUAUGUCUGUUUGUUUUGUUCACACAUUAUUAUCAAUAUAAUGAAAUCUGAUGCAACUGUCAUACAGCUGAGGAGUUUAGCCAGCUAAAUAUCAGGUUUAAUUCACCAUUUUCCACAAAAGAAAAAAGUCAGGAAUAAGACAGUUGUUGUCCAUUCGUGGGAGAUGUUUGAGCUUUUGAUAUUGCUUUUUGAGGGACUUUCCUUUUUGAAUUUUCCUCGGAGUUCAGUCUUGUUUCGUUUUUGUACUUUUAACCCAAAAAAAUCCAACAACAUAUAUUUGAUACUUAAAUGCAUUAUAUAGUUUUGAAUGUCUAAUGAUUGGUUAAGCUUUAGUUUAUAAACGAAAUCAAAUUAGCAGAAAUUGUUAAUUUUAAAAAC
rnacentral:lncRNA from 1 species